GACGAACUUUGGCGGCGUGCUUAACACAUGCAAGUCGAACGGAAAGGCCCUGCUUUUGUGGGGUGCUCGAGUGGCGAACGGGUGAGUAACACGUGAGUAACCUGCCCUUGACUUUGGGAUAACUUCAGGAAACUGGGGCUAAUACCGGAUAGGAGCUCCUGCUGCAUGGUGGGGGUUGGAAAGUUUCGGCGGUUGGGGAUGGACUCGCGGCUUAUCAGCUUGUUGGUGGGGUAGUGGCUUACCAAGGCUUUGACGGGUAGCCGGCCUGAGAGGGUGACCGGCCACAUUGGGACUGAGAUACGGCCCAGACUCCUACGGGAGGCAGCAGUGGGGAAUAUUGCACAAUGGGCGGAAGCCUGAUGCAGCAACGCCGCGUGCGGGAUGACGGCCUUCGGGUUGUAAACCGCUUUCGCCUGUGACGAAGCGUGAGUGACGGUAAUGGGUAAAGAAGCACCGGCUAACUACGUGCCAGCAGCCGCGGUGAUACGUAGGGUGCGAGCGUUGUCCGGAUUUAUUGGGCGUAAAGGGCUCGUAGGUGGUUGAUCGCGUCGGAAGUGUAAUCUUGGGGCUUAACCCUGAGCGUGCUUUCGAUACGGGUUGACUUGAGGAAGGUAGGGGAGAAUGGAAUUCCUGGUGGAGCGGUGGAAUGCGCAGAUAUCAGGAGGAACACCAGUGGCGAAGGCGGUUCUCUGGGCCUUUCCUGACGCUGAGGAGCGAAAGCGUGGGGAGCGAACAGGCUUAGAUACCCUGGUAGUCCACGCUGUAAACGGUGGGUACUAGGUGUGGGGUCCAUUCCACGGGUUCCGUGCCGUAGCUAACGCUUUAAGUACCCCGCCUGGGGAGUACGGCCGCAAGGCUAAAACUCAAAGGAAUUGACGGGGCCCCGCACAAGCGGCGGAGCAUGCGGAUUAAUUCGAUGCAACGCGUAGAACCUUACCUGGGUUUGACAUGGAUCGGGAGUGCUCAGAGAUGGGUGUGCCUCUUUUGGGGUCGGUUCACAGGUGGUGCAUGCCUGUCGUCAGCUCGUGUCGUGAGAUGUUGGGUUAAGUCCCGCAACGAGCGCAACCCUUGUUCACUGUUGCCAGCACGUUAUGGUGGGGACUCAGUGGAGACCGCCGGGGUCAACUCGGAGGAAGGUGGGGAUGACGUCAAGUCCUCAUGCCCCUUAUGUCCAGGGCUUCACGCAUGCUACAAUGGCUGGUACAGAGAGUGGCGAGCCUGUGAGGGUGAGCGAAUCUCGGAAAGCCGGUCUCAGUUCGGAUUGGGGUCUGCAACUCGACCUCAUGAAGUCGGAGUCGCUAGUAAUCGCAAAUCAGCAACGCUGCGGUGAAUACGUUCCCGGGGCC
rnacentral:rRNA from 1 species